AGUGAACGCUGGCGGUAGGCCUAACACAUGCAAGUCGAACGGCAGCACAGUAAGAGCUUGCUCUUACGGGUGGCGAGUGGCGGACGGGUGAGGAAUACAUCGGAAUCUACUUUUUCGUGGGGGAUAACGUAGGGAAACUUACGCUAAUACCGCAUACGACCUACGGGUGAAAGCAGGGGAUCUUCGGACCUUGCGCGAUUGAAUGAGCCGAUGUCGGAUUAGCUAGUUGGCGGGGUAAAGGCCCACCAAGGCGACGAUCCGUAGCUGGUCUGAGAGGAUGAUCAGCCACACUGGAACUGAGACACGGUCCAGACUCCUACGGGAGGCAGCAGUGGGGAAUAUUGGACAAUGGGCGCAAGCCUGAUCCAGCCAUACCGCGUGAGUGAAGAAGGCCUUCGGGUUGUAAAACCCUCUUGUUGGGAAAGAAAAGCAGCAGGUUAAUACCCCGCUGUUCUGACGGUACCCAAAGAAUAAGCACCGGCUAACUUCGUG
rnacentral:rRNA from 1 species